AGGUCUGUAGUGAGGUUAUCUAGAUGGUUAGGUCUGUAGUGAGGUCUGUAGUGAGGUUAUCUAGACUGUUAGGUCUGUAGUGGGGUUAUCUAGAUGGUUAGGUCUGUAGUGAGGUUAUCUAGAUGGUUAGGUCUGUAGUGGGGUUAUCUAGAUGGUUAUGUCUGUAGUGAGGUCUGUAGUGAGGUCUGUAAGUGAGGUCUGUAGUGAGGUUAUCUAGACUGUUAGGUCUGUAGUGGGGUUAUCUAGAUGGUUAGGUCUGUAGUGAGGUCUGUAGUGAGGUUAUCUAGAUGGUUAGGUCUGUA